CAUGACAGCAGAGAUUGAAGGAGCCUUCGUAUACUAAUAGCACACUCUUUAAGGCUGAGAGUUCUCAUUAAGCUCCUUACAGCCCCACAGCCAAACAAGAACAAUCUCGGAGGAUCUCCAGGGAGCUUUGCUGACCUUUGCUCGCAACCUGUCAAUCAUUCAUCAGGAAAUAUCAGCUCCAAAUAUGCAAGGAACAAACUAUUUUAAGGACCUUAUCAAGGACAUUGAGAAGGUCUUGGGCAUGACCAUAGAAAACCAAACCACAUCUCAGGAAGAAAAGGAGAUUACUGCACCCGAAAGCAAACAGUUAUCAUCUCAUAAACCUCACAGAUCAACCCCAAAUUAAUCAACAUACUUAAGGACUAUCAUACAAUAGCAUUUACACAUUCAGUUAUAAUUGCUGUCACCAAACAUUUCUAUAGACCUCAAUUAUAGCUGUAAUGUGGCUAGCAUUAAAAGGAGAUACACACAUGUAUGAAUCUGCGUGGGUGGAUUUGUCCAUUGUUACAUUGUCCAGAUCACAUUGUUAUAGUGAUCUAAAAUGUUGUACAAUUGUUCUCUCUAGAAAGAUUA